UUAAUAAUAAAAACCUUCAUUUAAAAACUGUGUUUUGUGUUUACUCAUGUUAUCUUUGACUAAUAUUUAAAUUUGUUUGAUGAUCUGAAACAUUAAAGUGUGACAAACAUGCAAAAAGAUUGGAAAUCAGGAAGGGGGCCAACACUUUUUCACACCACUGUACAUAACAAAACAUGUCAUAUUCCAUUGGUAUGCGAGCUAUAGCUGUAAGUUAUAACUUGAGCUAUUCUGUACUGGCAUUAAAUAACAUGGCUAGGCUCCGCAUUGACAUAACUAGCCUGCUAACUCCUAAGGCUAACAUAACUCUGACGUCACCAAUGUUAUAGUCUGUGUUUAAUGUUAGUGUAAGCGAUGCAGACUCAAUUAAUUCAAGCUCAUAGCACUAAAUAAACCAUUGUGAAGGCAGUCAUCUGAACUGAAUGAAAUUAUGAAUUACAAAUGAAGAAAGUGACACUUCUCCAGGGAUACUGUGUGCUUUAAGGAAUUUCAGUUUUCUCCACAAUGUACCUUUUGUAUUUCAUAUUCCGACCUUUUCAUUGGAGGGGUAGACUGUUAAACUCAGACUUCACAGGCUCCCCAUAAUGCUUAUCAAUGAAUAAAAAGAAAGUGAACGUUUGACCCUGACUCCGCCACAUUUUUCCCGCCAUUCACAUUGACCAAUCAACUUUUCUGACAAUUCAAAAAUUCACAAACCAUAAUCAACAGGAUAAGUUAAGAUAGGUGGCAGUCGCUCACGUUCAUCACUUGUUCUGAUUAUUUUUGCACUAGUACAGUGGUGUGGAGGCUCCAAUGUUGGGAAGUGAAGUAUUGUGCCUACUUCUCAGAUCCGGAAUUUUGACUCAAAUAAGUUUUUGGAUGGAUCAGACAACGAUUACAUCGUGGAGUGGCGGGAUGGGGGGAAAAACGCCCAAAGGAGGAUGGCCCGUGUUUCAGGUUAUAGUGCACAAAGUUGCAGAGAGGACGCCUACAAUACAGACUAAUCUGCAGCAGAGGGUGUCUGUGAAAGUAAGCCCAUUACCACUUAAAAAAUGGUCAGAAAUCCCAAUCCUACAUUUUCUGAUAGCCCUGAGGAGAGCAAUCUACAGCAGGACACUAGAAACAGGCCAUUAACCUUGUGAAGAGAGGCUUCUGGAACAGAAUGGUUGAGAAUGCUUCAUCUUCAAGUGCAUAUGACGCUUCCUCCAUUCAGAAGGUUAGGGAGAAGGUGAUUUUGCUGUGCAACACUCUUCUUCAGCGUCGAGCUUCACCCUGGAUCCAAUGUAUUUGUCACCACCAGUGCUAUGAUUGGUAUUUACAAAUUGUCCAUGGGGUGUGAGUGUGUGCGAUUGUGCCCUGUGAUGGGUUGGCACCCUGUCCAGGGUGUCACCCACCUUGUGCCCCGAGUCCCAGUCGCAGGGAGCCUGGGAUAGAAUAAGUAGUACCGAAAAUGGAUGGAUGUUAUUUUCUGAUGAUUAUAUUCACAUUUAUUUAUUUAUUUAGCAGAUGCUUAAAAGUGACUCAGGCUGUGUUCACACCUGGUAUUACCAUCCGUCACAAGUACAAGUGGACAGCAAAACCAUAAAUGUGCAAGUGUAAAUGGCAUUAUGAAGGCGUCUCCAGUGACUAAUUGUGAUGGGAUUUCAAACAUCAUUUCCGCAGAAGGAAGAGCAUUGAGUAUACUUAUUACGCCUGUCUUUUGCUACAUUUAUUUUCAGGCAGAAUUGUCCUGCGAAUCCUAUUAAAUGUACUGUACCUGUACAGGCUGUUUCAGACAUUUCAGUUGUGUGGUCUGCUAUUGAAACUUAUAAAUGCUGUUAUAGAAUUGGCUGUAUCCAUUAGCCUAGUGGCAUUUCCAAACACAAUGAUUAGGUAUACUCUUUCUAGGGCAAUGACACAGUUAAUUAGGUGGUCAUUUCUUGCUGUCUGGGAUGCAUUAAGACGCAUUAAUGUUCAGACUACAAAUGUGAUGUGGUCUUAUGCAUCCCAAACCACCUCCAAAUGUGGUUUGCGUGAUUGGAUCACAGUACAUCAUCAAGAUGCAUUGGACCCUGUUUACACCUGUACAUAGUGCUGUCCACUUACAGAUGACCCAGGACGCAUCUUAAUGCCGUGUCUGAGCAGGGCCUGGAGCACAUGGAAUGCUCUACAGGUUGGGCUAAAGGAGCAAUUAUGUUUAUGUCUUGUUUUUCAAGCUUUGUAAAACCCAUAUUGUUAGAAGUUUAAGCAGUUCUGUUGUAAUAAAGGUUUUUGUUAAAUUUCUGAAAGUAAGACAACACAAAAGACAAAGUAGUUACUGCAUAAACAACAAAUUAUUUUAUCUAUUUAUUUUAUUUUAUUUAUUUGUAUAGCGCUUUUAACAAUGGAUAUUGUCACAAAGCAGCUUUACAGAAAUAAAUGGAUUCACAAAAAAUAUAUUGUAAAUAUGUGAAUUUAUCCCUAAUGAGCAAGCCAGAGGCAAUGGUGGCAAGGAAAAACUCCCUGAGACAAUAUGAGGAAGAAACCUUGAGAGGAACCAGGUGAAAGUUGGGGGGCGACAGCAUUCAAACAUCCCAGUACACCACAACACUCUAUGCCUGUGAACCCUCCAGACCUGCCCCUGUACCUAAGAAAAAACUGUUCACAAAAGGCUUGACUAAACAUAUAUGUUUUUAGCCUAGCCUUAAACAUUGAGACUGUGUCUGAGCCCCAAUCACUAAGUGGAAGGCUGUUCCAUAACUGUGGCGCUUUGUAAGAGAAAGCUCUACCCCCAGCUGUAGCCCGCAUUAUUCGAGGUACCAACAAAUAGCCUGCACCUUUUGAUCUAAGUAGGUGUGGCGGAUCAUAAAAGACCAAACGUUCGCUCAGGUACUGUGGCCCAAGACCAUUUAGUGCUUUAUAGGUCAAUAGUAAUAUUUUAUAAUCAAUACAAGAUUUGAUUGGGAGCCAAUGCAGUGUGGCUAAGAUAGGGGUGAUGUGGUCAUAUCUUCUGAUUCUAGUAAGGACUCUCGCUGCUGCAUUCUGGACUAACUGGAGCUUGUUUAUGCAUCUACCAGAAUAUCUAGGCAGAAAGGCAUUACAAUAAUCCAACCUAGAGGUAACAAAAGCAUGAACUAAUUUUUCUGCAUCGUUUAGUGACAAUAUAUUUCUUAUUUUAGCAAUAUUUAUGAGAUGAAAGAAAGCAAUCCUAGUUAUAUUAUCUACAUGAGCUUCAAAAGAAAGACUAGAGUCGAUAAUCACACCAAGGUCUUUUACUGCUGCACAUGAUGAAAGAGAAAGGCCAUCCAGAGUUAUUAUGUAAUCAGAAAGCUUACUUCUAACUGCAUGUGGUCCUAGUACAAGUACUUCUGUCUUGUCAGAAUUAAGUAAGAGAAAGUUAAUAAACAUCCAGUUUAUUAACUGGUAGCAUAUAUAAAGAAAAGAGCAGUGUGCCUAAAAUAGAGCAGUGCGGGACACCAAACUUUACCUUAGUAUGAGAAGAGAAGUCACCAUUUACGUUUACAAACUGAUAACGAUCAGUCAAAUAAGACCUGAGCCAGGAAAGGGCCGUUCCCUUAAUGCCUACUACAUUUUCCAGUCUAUCCAGGAGAAUAGCAUGAUCAAUGGUAUCAAAAGCUGCACUAAGGUCAAGCAGCACAAGCAAGGAGACACAACCCUGAUCAGAGUCCAGUAGUAAGUCAUUUACCACUUUAACCAGUGCUGUCUCUGUGCUAUGAUAAGGCCUAAAUCCUGACUGAUACAUUUCAUGAAUGUUAUUCCUAUGUACGUAUGAGCAUAGCUGCUGACCUUUUCUAGGACCUUGGAGAUAAAGGGGAGGUUUAAUAUUGGUCUAUAGUUAGACAGCUGACAGGAGUCAAGGUCAGGUUUUUUAAUCAAGGGCUUGAUAACUGCUAGUUUAAAAGAUUUAGCCAAUGCUAAGGGAAGAACUGAUUAUCUUUAAAAGAGGUUUGAUCGUUUCAGGAAUUAUCUGUUUGAAGAAACAAGUAGGUAAAGGAUCUAGUAUACAGGUUGAUGAUUUUGAUGAUGAAAUUAGUGAAAUUAGUUCAGUCACUUCAAGGGGAGUAAAACAUUGUAAUUGUUGAUCUGAUAUUAUUAUAUUAUCAUCUACAGGGUUAGUUAUAAAACUGUCCAGUUUUAAAUUAAUAGUCUGAAUUUUUUGCCUGAUAUUUUAAAUUUCACCAUUGAAAAAAUUCAUGAAGUCAUCGCUGCUAUAUAAUGAUUGUGUGCGUGUUUCUAUUGUGGUUUUAUUCCUAGUUAAUUUUGCUACAGUAUUAAAUAAGAAUCUAGGAUUAUUUCUGUUAUCUUCAAUUAGGGUGGAGAGAUACAUUGGUCUAGCAGCACUAAGAGCUUUCCUAUAGCUCAAAAGGCUCUCCUUCCAUGCUAUUUGAAACACUACUGAUUUAGUUUGACGCCAUUUAUGAUCUAAAUUGCAAAUACCCCUUUAUUGGUUAAUUUAUGUGCAAGCACAAUGAGCCCAGUGUGCAUCUCUUUUGUCUUUAUAGAUUAUUAAAUGAUUCCCUGCAACCACCCAUGGUCAACUUGGCAUAGCAGUGAAUUGCAAAAUGGAUGAAUUACGUGCAAGCAAAAAGAAACAAUACUAAACUAUUGAUUAAAACUGUUUCUGUUUAUGUAUUUGAUCUAGUACCCAAUGUACCUGUGGUGUUUAUGUUCUACUGUCCUUACUAUCCAAUACCUAAAAUUUCUGAGUUGUAUUUUAUUAAUUGUUUCCAAUAAAUUACUGCAAAUUAAAUACACCAGUAGCAUGUGUCUUUAUACACUAUAUUGCCAAAAGUUUUGGGACGUCUGCCUUUACAUGCACAUGAACUUUAAUGACAUCCCAUUCUUAAUCCGUAGGGUUUAAUAUGGAGUUGGCCCACCCCUUGCAGGAAUAACAGCUUCAACUCUUCAGGGAAGACUUUCCACAAGGUUUAGGAGUGUGUUUAUUAGAAUUUUUGACCAUUAUUCUAGAAGCGCAUUUGUGAGGUCAGGCACUCGUCUCCUCUCUAAUUCAUCCCAAAGGUGUUCUAUUGGGUUGAGGUCAGGAGGUAAGUUUCUCCACACUAAACUCACUCAUCCAUGUUUUUAUGGACCUUGCUUUGUGCACUGGUGCACAGUCAUGUUGGAACCGGAAGGGGCCAUCCCCAAACUGUUCCUACAAAGUUGGGAGCAUGAAAUUGUCCAAAAUGUCUUGUUAUGAUGAAGCAUUAAGAGUUCCUUUCACUCAAAUUAAGGGGCCAAGCCAAACCCCUAAAAAACAGCCCCACACAAUAAUCCCCCCUCCACCGAACUUUACACUUGGCACAUUGCAGUCAGGCAAGUACCAUUCUCCUGACAACCGCCAAACCCAGACUCAUCCAUCGGAUUGCCAGACAGAGUGUGAUUCGUCAUUCCAGAGAACACGUCUCCACUGCUCUAGAGUCCAGUGGCGGCGUGCUUUACAUCACUGCAUCCGACGCUUUGCAUUGCAUUUGAUGAUGUAAGGCUUGGAUGCAGCUGCUCGGCCAUGGAAACUCAUUCCAUGAAGCUCUCUACGCACUGUUCUUGAGCUAAUCUGAAGGUCACAUGAAGUUUGGAGGUCUGUAGCUAUUGACUCUGCAGAAAGUUGGCGACUUCUGCGCACUGUGCGCCUCAGCAUGCUCUGAUCCCGCUCUGUGAUUUUACGUGGCCUACCACUUCGUGGCUGAGUUGCUGUUGUUCCUAAUUGCUUCCACUUUGUUAUAAUACUAAUAACAGUUGACCGUGGAAUAUUUAGUAGUGAGGAAAUUACACGAAUGGACUUAUUGCACAGGUGGCAACCUAUCACGGUACCACGCUUGAAUUCACUGAGCUCCUGAGAGGAAUUCACUGAGCUCCAUGCCUAGGUGCUUGAUUUUAUACACCUGUGGCCAUGGAAGUGAUUGGAAUGCCUGAAUUCAAUGAUUUGGAGGGGUGUCCCAAAACCUUUGGCAAUAUAGUGUAUGUGUAUAUACACCAAUCAGACAUAACAUUAAAACCACUGACAUGUGACGUGAAUAACAUUGAUUAUCUCCUUAAAAUGGCACCUGUCAAGGGGUGGGAUAUAUUAGGCAGCAAGUGCAGUCAGUUCUCGAAAUUGAUGUGUUGGAAGCAGGAAAAAUGUGCAAGCGUAAGGAUCUGAGAGACUUUGACAAGGGCCAAAUUGUGAUGGCUAGAUGACUGGAUCGGAGCAUCUCCAAAACGGCAUGUCUUGUGGGGUGUUCCCGAUAUGCAGUGGUUAGUACCUACCAAAAGUGGUCCAAGGAAGGACAACCAGUGAAUCGAUGACAGGAUCAUGGGCAUCCGAGGCUCAUUGAUGUGUGUGGUGGAACGAAGGCUAGCCUGUCUGGUCCCAUCCCACAGAAGAGCUACUGUAAGUUAAUGCUGGCUGUGACAGAAAGGUGUCAGAGCACAGAGUGCAUUGUAGUUUGCUGCGUUGCAUGCUGUGUAGCUGCAGACUGGUCCAAGUGCCCAUGCUGACCCCUGUCCACUGCUGAAAGCGCCUACAAUACACACGUGAGCAUCAGAACUGGACCAUGGAGCAAUGGAAGAACAUGGCCUGGUCUGAUGAAUCACAUUUUUUUUACAUCAUGUGGACAGUCAGGUGCAGAGGCAGUGUGAUGCUCUGGGCAAUGUUCUGCUGGGAAACCCUGGGUCCUGGCAUUCAUGUGGAUGUUACUUUGACAUGUACCACCUACCUAAACAUUGUUGCGGGCCAAGUACACCCCUACAUGGCAACGGUACUCCCUAAUGGCAAUGGCCUCUUUCAGCAGGAUAAUGCACCCUGCCACACUGCAAAACGUGUUCAGGAAUGGUUUGAGGAACAUGGCAAAGAGUUCAAGGUGUUGACUGGCCUCCAAUUUCCCCAGAUCUCAAUCCAAUCGAGCAUCUGUAGGAUGUGCUGGACAAACAAGUCCAGAUCCACCUCCAUGGAUUAAAGGUUCUACUGGUAAUGACUUGGUGCCAGCACAAGGGAUCUACAGAAUAUUAGGCAGGUGGUUUUAAUGUUGUGGC